rnacentral:rRNA from 1 species
GGGUCAGUAGGUUGGUCGUGCCACCGGUACGUACUGGUCUCACUGAUUCCUCCUUCCUGAAGAACCGUAAUGCCAUUAAUCUGGUGUUGCGGGGAAACAGGACUGUUACUUUGAAAAAAUUAGAGUGUUUAAAGCAAGCUAACGCUUGAAUACAUUAGCAUGGAGUAAUGAAAUAGGACGAUCGAUCCUAUUUUGUUGGUUUCUAGGAUUGACGUA